rnacentral:rRNA from 1 species
GGUUAAGCGACUAAGCGUACACGGUGGAUGCCCUGGCAGUCAGAGGCGAUGAAGGGCGUGCUAAUCUGCGAUAAGCGCCGGUAAGGUGAUAUGAACCGUUAUAACCGGCGAUACCCGAAUGGGGAAACCCAGUGUGAUUCGUCACACUAUCAUUAACUGAAUCCAUAGAUUAAUGAGGCGAACCGGGGGAACUGAAACAUCUAAGUACCCCGAGGAAAAGAAAUCAACCGAGAUUCCCCCAGUAGCGGCGAGCGAACGGGGAGGAGCCCAGAGCCUGAAUCAGCAUGUGUGUUAGUGGAAGCGUCUGGAAAGGCGCGCGAUACAGGGUGACAGCCCCGUACACAAAAGCGCAUGUGCUGUGAGCUCGAUGAGUAGGGCGGGACACGUGGUAUCCUGUCUGAAUAUGGGGGGACCAUCCUCCAAGGCUAAAUACUCCUGACUGACCGAUAGUGAACCAGUACCGUGAGGGAAAGGC